GUCCGAGGAACAUCGCUCUUAUUUGGCAAUGAGAACUCUUCUAUAAUAGUGCUGCGGGGAGAGGGGUGCUCCAGGUGGUCGUGCUGCGAUCUUUGUGGGCACGGUGGAUGGUCUGGGCUUCCUGUGGCCUCACCUCUGGGGUCCAGCCUUUUCCAGGCCUUGUCUCCAGACUUCCUGAAGAGUCCAUGAACUCCGGACACCCUUCCAGCACAUUCCCCUGUGCUCGCAGCUGCCAGAAUCGCUUGCCAGUUACUCGCAGCCCUGACUGAUGCACGUCUAGACUGGAGUCAGCGGAGGAGUGUCAGGGUUUCACAGUAGUCAGUCAUUGUACAGCUGAGUCAGCACAGGGGUUUCCUCAUCACAGAAGCAAGCUCUGCAAGCCGGCUCUGGGCAGGGAGCAGGGCUGCGUGUUUUUGACAGAAUGGAGCUCCGUCUAAGCUCGAUGUGGGUUUCCAGCCCUGGACUCUUUCCUCCACUUGCUCUUUGGUGUCAUCUCUUUCUGGCUGCUUGAGUCCCUUCCUUGAUGCUUCACUCAACAUCACUCCCAGCUGGGCGGUGGUCUCCUCUUCCUGGCUCCCUGGGGGCCUUCUGCAAUCUCAGGACUAUGUCCCUUGCCCUCAGACCAAAACCUGAACUACUUGGGCAUCUGAAGCAACCACGAGUCCCCAGCCCAGCGACACACCCACCUGCGGUGCCUCACAGUCUCUCGGAGGAACGUAACAGUUUAUCCAGGUCCUCUGAGCGGAUGUUGGGAGGCUCGGGCAGAGGGCCAGGCACCUGUCUGUUCAACCAUCUUCCCAGGCCAUUCUGGAGCUCAACCAGGCUCGCGGACCAUACUUCUGGCCAGAGAUGCUCAAGCUGCCCACUUCCUAACCACAGAAGAGAGCCAGUCAGGUGCCUCUGGGAAGACUCUGGGUCCAGCGUCCAAGAGCCCACAGAGCUGAGAUGUCUUCCAAGACUGGUGUUCUGUCCUGCUCAGAGGCAGGUUCUGGAGUCAGAGUGCCUGUGUCUGAAUCGCAGCUCUAUGUCAGAGCAGCUGCAAGGUGCUUAACCUCCGAGAGCCUCAGUUUCUGCAUCUGAGAAAGGGGAACAUACAGUGCCCAGAACUGUGAGGAUUACGCGAGGUAAUGGAGAGCGCCGAGCACAGUGCCUGGUGCGCAGUGGGGACUGAGCACCAGGAUCAAUAAGCAGCUGGGGCUUUGAUGGUGGUGCAGGGGGCGUGCUCCACGGCGAUAUCUGGUCCGGAAAGAACAACGAAGCCCGUGCACCAGACGCACUGAGCCUGUGCUCCACAACAAGAGAAGCUGAGC
ensembl:lncRNA